UNUCCGAUUACUAGUUUAAAGGGUCNGUAGCUGUAUAUAAGUCAGUGUGAAANNUCUGAGCUAACUGAGGACUUGCCAUGAAACUGGUAUACUUGAGUAUGGUGCUGUCGGCGGAAUGUAUUAUGUAGCGGUGAAAUGCAUAGAUAUGAUACAGAACACCAAUUGCGAAAGCAGCUGACAAAACCAGCACUGACGCUGAUAGACGAAAGCGUGGGGAGCGAACAGGAUUAGAUACCCUGGUAGUCCACGCAGUAAACUAUGGGCACUAGUUUUUGGCGAUAGACAGUCAGAGACAAAGCGAAAGCGUUAAGUGCCCCACCUGGGGAUUACGUUCGCAAGAAUGAAACUCAAAGGAAUUGACGGGGGCCCGCACAAGCGGAGGAACAUGUGGUUUAAUUCGAUGAUACGCGAGGAACCUUACCUGGGCUUAAAUGCUAGGCGUCUUCGGGCGUAGUCUGUAGAAAUACAGCUUAAACUUGCAAGGUGCUGCAUGGUUGUCGUCAGCUCGUGCCGUGAGGUGUCGGGUUAAGUCCCAUAACGAGCGCAACCCACAUUCUUAGUUGCCAUCAAAUAAGUUGGGCACUCUAGGAAAACUGCCAUCGUAAGAUGUGAGGAAGGUGUGGAUGACGUCAAAUCAGCACGGCCCUUAUGUCCAGGGCUACACACGUGUUACAAUGGUCGGUACAAAAGGCAGCGACCUGGUAACAGAGAGCUAAUCUUAAAAACCGGCCUCAGUUCGGAUUGGAGUCUGCAAUUCGACUCCAUGAAGUCGGAUUCGCUAGUAACCGCGUAUCAGCAAUGACGCGGUGAAUACGUUCCCGGGCCUUGUACACACCGCCCGUCAAGCCAUGGAAGCUGGGUGCACCUGAAGUCCGUGACCGUUCAGGAGCGGCCGAAGGUGAAACUAGUGACUGGGGCUAAGUCGUAACAAGGUAGCC
rnacentral:rRNA from 1 species